rnacentral:rRNA from 1 species
AAGCGCUUGCGACCAGACUCGCCCUGGAGGGCUCAACCGGCACUUGUGCCGGUGCACUCCCCCCUGGGCGGGCCAGCGUCGGUUUGGGCGGCCGGUCAAAGGUCUCUGGAAUGUAUCACCCCCCGGGGUGUCUUAUAGCCAGGGAUGCAAUGCGGCCAGCCUGGACCGAGGAACGCGCUUCGGCUCGGACGCUGGCAUAAUGGUCGUAAGC